CGGGUCAUCCGUUACCUUGAAUUCGGAUCUGUAUAAAAGGCAAUACAUCAGAACAUUUUCUCUGUAAACCCUAAACUACAAACGCCGCUUUCAUUCUUUUCAUCUAUCUUUGUGUUUUCUCCUCUCCAUUGAAGCCGCUUCGAUUCUUUGAGCUGGAAGAGGAAGAGAUGUCAGUCCCACAUUUUGAGUUUGCUGCUGGUGAAGGAUCUCAACCAGUGGAAGUUGAUGAUCCGCCAUCAGUAAGGUUCACUUGGAAAAUAGAGAAUUUCUCAAAAUUCAACCGGAGCUCCUUCGUCUCCCUAUUGUUCUCACCCAGAACCCUACCUGCACCGCAUCUUUUUUAGCAAAUCAACAAUGACAUCCAGCACGGAUUUUACAUCAAGAUCUGAAAACUAGGACAAAAUGCCCUAGCCACCCCUUCAGCUAUGACGGCUAGGGUUCCGGUCAUUAGUCAUCCGUUUUUCGUUUCAGAAUCCAUGGUGUUUAGCUUCGAAGUCCGAGUCAGCUGGUGUUGGGUUCAACUGUAAUUUUAGGACCAUACCCCUUCAGUUUGUUAUUUUAGGACCAUACCCCUUCAUUUGGGACUACUCUUGAGCCAAACUCGAUCACCAACAUCCUACGAGAGUUGGAACUACUCUUGAAUUGCUUAAUUUUCGCCGUUUUUAUAAACAAUGCUGACGAUUGAUACGCUUGCUAAGAAAGAAAAUGUACUCUUGAAGAAAGCUGAUGCUGAGGUACAAAGGGCAAAGGAGUUUACCAAGGCCAAAAAUAAAAGGGGUUUUACAUGAAGGUGAUGUUCUAUAUGUUUUCCCGUUUCCGAGAGUUAAUAUUCACACACCGCUCCUCUUGAUCUCUUUCUCUAUAUAUCUAUGUAUAUAUAGAGAGAGAUAGAGUGGAAAAGGGCGUGAAAAUAAGAUAUAUGUGUGGGAAUAGGGAGAGCCUUUCAUAGAAGAUUAUCCUUCAAAGCUUAUAACCAGUAUUGCAGCCAUGGAUGUUGGUUCUAAUGAAACUCUGGUGAAAGUUGAGUUUUAGCGUAUGACAUGGCGAACACGGAAGAAUCGGCGAGUGCGUGACUGACUCCUUUAUUUGCUUCCCUUCUCAAGUCCGGCAUUCGGGUUUUCUAUUCAGUUGCAGGUGACAUAUUUCAUGCAGCACAACAUUGAUCAUUCCCAGGAUUUUAUAAGAAAAGCUAUAAAAGAGUGGCUGAACUGGCUCAAGAACAAUAUUGGUUAUGAUGUUGGCGCCUUGACUUUGUGAGGUUGAACGUGUCGGGUUCGGGUCAGUAUGCGAGUAUUCAGGUUGGGUUCGGGUUCAUAUGUAUGGCAUUAUUCUCGGGUUCGGGUUCGUCUAAAAUUUUCGGGUUUGGGUUGGGUUGAACCCGCCAACCUGCGAACACGACCCUUUUAGCACCCCUAGGCCUUAAAUCUUCAUAAAUGGCCAAAUAUCAAUCGCGGACAGGUAUGAAGAGACUAACCGAACUCAUGUAUCUGUUGCAUAUUUUUAUAUUUCUUGAAGUUAGUUUUAUUACAUUUUGGCAGCUUUUAGCAAUCCUUCCAUUGGAUGUUAUGCAUACAUUAGGUAAUCUUACGACCAACAUGAGUAUCGGCUAAGUUUCUGUUUCAUUUAUUGGUCAUAGAGAAGAUGAUGUGUAACAUUAGAGGUUGCAAAAUGGGCAAGUUGGAUUGGGUUAGUUGUUGGGUCAGAAUGGGUUUUGGUCAUAAUGGGUUUGGGUCAGGAUAGGCUAGGCUGAUAAAAAACUGGGCAGGAUGGGUAUGGGUUAGAAUGAGUUUAAGUUGGAUUCGGUUAGUUGUUGGGUCAGAAUGGGUUUUGGUCAUAAUGGGUUUCAUUUUUUGUAUUCAUAACAGAUUAUGAAUGGGUUGCAUUCUUUGGCAGGGUUUAAAUGCUUCACCCGAUCAGCAUCUUGGCUAUUAACAAUGAGGAUAUAGAUGAGUUAGUCUCUUAUUAUUUUUUUAAACUAGUUUUCUUUAAGGCUUAUUUAUGUUGGUUAGAUGAUCUAUGUUCAACUUUAUAUAAGUUGCAACAGUUAGAAGAAUUUUGUUCUUGAUCUGUCACCCAAAGUUAUGAUUCCUAGCAUGGAGCAAAGAAUCCGUUUUCUAAAUGAGCAGAAAUUUUUUUUCAUGACUUGCAUGAAGAAGUGAUGACGACUGCUGGCUGCUCAUGGCCAUGGUCUAUUAAUAGGCGUUCAACAAGUUAAGUCAGAAAUCCCUUUAAUUGAAAUUUGAAAGGGCAUUUCUAUCCAAAACAUCCUAUUCAGCCUUAAAUGAGUUGAUCAAUGUCAUUUUUUAGUUAGUGGAGCUUUUCUUAAGAUAAACUAUAUCAUUAAUUUAAUAUAUUUUUAUGUACGAUUAACAUUGAAU